UACGUAGGGCGCAAGCGUUGUCCGGAAUCAUUGGGCGUAAAGAGCUCGUAGGCGGCCUGUUGCGUCCGCUGUGAAAUCCCGGGGCUUAACCCCGGGCGUGCAGUGGAUACGGGCUGGCUGGAGGCAGGCAGGGGAGAACGGAAUUCCCGGUGUAGCGGUGAAAUGCGCAGAUAUCAGGAGGAACACCGGUGGCGAAGGCGGGUCUCUGGGCCGAUACUGACGCUGAGGAGCGAAAGCGUGGGGAGCGAACAGG
rnacentral:rRNA from 1 species